rnacentral:rRNA from 1 species
UACGAAGGAGGCGAGCGUUGUUCGGAAUUACUGGGCGUAAAGGGCGCGCAGGCGGCUCAGACAGUCAGAUGUGAAAGCCCCGGGCUUAACCUGGGAACUGCAUUUGAUACUACUGAGCUUGAGUACGGGAGAGGAUAGUGGAAUUCCCAGUGUAGAGGUGAAAUUCGUAGAUAUUGGGAAGAACACCGGUGGCGAAGGCGGCUAUCUGGACCGUAACUGACGCUGAGGCGCGAAAGCGUGGGGAGCAAACAGG